rnacentral:lncRNA from 1 species
CCUGAAUCGUGAUCAAUACUUGAUCUUUCUCCUUGAUCUUCUUCUUCUCCUCUUUUAUAGAGUUUCUCCUUGCUAUAUGCUGCUACUAGAUACUAGAAACCAGCAAGGAAGAGGUAUUCAAACUCUUUUGUGCGUAGAACUCUUUGGAACGUGCAUCCCAAGAAAGGGGUGUAUAGAACACCCAAGAGAAGAGAAAGGGAGAGGAAGAG